rnacentral:lncRNA from 1 species
AUAAAAUGGCUCCAUGUGUAUUUUUAGCAAAUAACAGAGUAUUAGGUUUUCUUCAAUUCAGAUUUUGAGUGAUAUCUUCUUCCUGAUUCUCUUCACGCGCAAAUCUAGCUAGAGGUAUGCUUUCAAUCAAUUUUGUACAUAUCUUUUUUCUACUUUUUCCUUUGUAUUUUGGGUUUCUUCUAGGUUCUCUUCAUCAUUGUUAGUUUCGAUUCUGAAGUUCAGUGAUUGUUGUAGGUUCUUUUCCCAUGUUUUGCUAUGAUUUUUCUCAGAUCCUUUUUUCUUCUUUUAAUUUCUGCUCUAUCUUCUUUUAGGUUUUCUAAUUUUUAACUUUGCAAUCUUAUGGCAAGUGUGUGUUAAAUCGAGUGGUAAAACUGUAUUUUUAAACUCUAAGCAUGCUGACUAUUGGACUUUGUCUUCAACGUCUUUAUCUAGCAUUCCUCACAAAUUCUCUCAGUUAGAUCAAACUCAACGACCUGCCUCUACAGUUUCUUUUUUCAUAUUCUAAUAUUGUCUCAACUUCUCCUCCGUUUUUCGUUAAUUGCAGUCUUCUCUGUUGCACUGCUCAAUUUACGUACAAUUAUACGGUCAGUUCUGUUUUGUCUGGCUUUUUCCUUUAACUAUCCAAACUAUUUUUGGGGGUGAGGUUGGAACAACGAUUGGUUGUUUUGGAAAAGGAUCUGUAUUUAUUUAUGUGCAUAUCUUUUUUAAAUGAGGAAUACAAACAUAUUUUCUAUAUGAAAUUUUGGAAUGUCUUUACUGGUUUGGUACCAUGCCUGGUUGGGGUAAUUAAGAAGCUUUUAGACCCGGUUGACUUUGGCUGACCAAAAUGACUUUUUUCUUCGUUUAUCCAACCUUUUCUGAAUAUCAGUGUUAUCUAGAUUUAAGAUUGUGUUGGUUUCUACUGUGAAGAAUGUCUCCUUAUGAUGUUUUGAAUCUUCCAUGGAAGAUUAGCUUGCUUUCAAUUGGUGAUAUGUUACGCCUCUAUUUUUCGUGCUUCGUUUCGCUUCGCGCUUCUCGUGAUUUAAUCUUAAUUUUCAUAUGUUUCAACUCUUUUAAAGUGCAAUAAGAAUGAAUUUAAGUUUAUGAUUUAGACACUACAUCCAGACUUGCAUUAGAGGUAUUUGAGAAAUUGCCGAUGAGAAAGAAGGGGUAAAGUAUUUGAGAAUGGCGAGGAGAGUUGAGAAAUUUCACUGUUUUGAAAUUGCCACCGCCCGAGCCUAAGAAACCUAAGACCAUUAAUGUCAAGCUUGCUUAAAAUAGGGGAAAUAUAGACAAAUUAAGUUUGGUUCUAUGGGUAUUAAUUUGGACCUCGGAGAGGUUAGAAAUACUGUUUUAUAGUAGUGCUUAUGAUGUUUUUUGGACUGUUUUGUGCUGUGUGUAAGACCUUUUGGUCUAUGAACUGUGAACAUUAUGAAUAAAUUUCCUUGAAUUUACUGGAGUUUUUGCAUCUACAGGAAAAAAAUUAAAGCCACUAACAUGUAAAAGGAACAAUUCUGUAGUAUAUCUCCUAAAGAUUUUAAAUGUUCUUGUUGUAUAAAUCUAAGGAAAUGGAGAUUGAAACUGAUAAGAAAUAGAUUAAUGUUGUUGAAUGGCAUAACAUAUGCAAGAUUCACAGACUAUUGAAAAGAAACAACAGCAGACUCAUUCACAACUUUGCUCAAAUAAUGAUGAAGUUGGUUAAAAGGAGACAAAAAGGAAUAUAAAUAGUGUCUACUUCUUUCUCACUUGCUUCCAUAUUUACAUUCUCAUCUUAAACUAUUGGGCUAGGUUAUAAAUAUUUGUGUUGCAGAUCACUUUGUGUAAAGACAAACGAAUAUUAUGUUCGGAUCCUACAACUUCUUCAAUUAUAGUAUUCAAUUCAACAUGGUUCAUUUUAAUCUCUAUUUUUGUUCCUUUUUAACACUGAAAUAAUUGAGCAGCUUAAUGAAAAAACCUAAAGCCUAGAAAAUGAUAUAUGAUAAGUUAUUAUACCUUUUAAUUUUUUGGCAUGUAUUAAUUGCUCAUAUAUGUUAUUUUUGGUCUUUGUUUCUGCCUCAAUAGUGAAGGAAAAAGAAUCAUUUGUGAUGCUACUUUUUAAAAGCUCAAGGCUUCUCCAUAAGCUGAUAUAAAUUGUGGGUAUCUCUUGCAGUUUGUACGUCAACUGAAAGGCUGUUUUUCUGACGUUUGAGCUUGAUCGACAAGCUGUCACCACUUCAAAUUGAAGCUCUUGGUUUUGCUCUCCGAGAAUCACUAAAAACUUGACACUCAUGAAAACGAAGGUCUCUCCAUUCUGAAUUCCUUAUCUAUUGCAAUUUACGCCAUAUCUCAAGGUAAUUUGUCUUUUCAUAUUUCAUUUGUUGUCUUAGUUAUGUAACUGCUACUGAAGGUGCAGAAAUACCAAGGUGUAACUUAGCAAAAUCUGCAGAUACCAAUAUCUCCAAAAUCUAUUAGUUUACAUUGAUUCUUUAUCGUAUUUGGUGGUAGAUGCUUAAAUUUGUUUUAAAGUUCUUAUGGAACAUCAGAAGACCAUAUGUGUAUUAUUUUGUAUUUCUAUUCACAACUUUGGAGAUUAAAAACACCCCCGUUUCAAAUGUUUACAGAGUAACACCUUUCUUAUACACUUACUUGCAUGUGCUUUCUGUUGACAUGAAGGAAAUAAAAUCUCUCUCCGGUGCAUUUAUCUAAGCUCGCUUUCUUUUCUUUGUUUCUUUUUCUCUGAAGAUUCAAAAGAACAUUAGAAUUUAUGGUAUAUUAUGCUCAUUAGUAAACAAAGAUAGACAAUGUUUGAAAAGGUAUGUAAAUUACAAAUAAAAUCUGCAAAANCUAAUNNNNNNNNNNNNNNNNNNNAUAUAUAUAUAUAUAUAUAUAUAUAUACCAAGCUAAUAAAAAAAUAGUAUUUUCAACUUUUAUAAUAUUGGGCCUGUGCUGGCACAUGCCAUCACAACCUAGCAGACUAAAUAGAAAAGUGUAUUAUGGAACAUAAAUAUGACUUUCUGGACCACUUAUUUUGUUUAUUUUCUAUUUUGGUUGAUAGAAGGGUGGUUAAAACAUUAUUUGAAAAAAAUGUAACACUUUCACUUUGCCUACCAUAACACAAGGUCGGUAGUGGAGUCAACAACUCAAUGGACGGAUGAUUUGUCUUUUAAGUAUAAGAGAAGAUGUUUGAGUGAAAUAAACUUUUGUCUUUUAGGAACACAAAGCAAAAACUGUCAGAUUAUCUUUAAAUUUACUAAGAAAAAUACUUCUUUUUUUGGUAAUAAGGAAAUAUACGUAUUGAGGCACCAAACCAGUUAUUGCAAUAUAACUUUAAUCACUUACCGAAUGCGGGUAAAUUAUUAAUAUAUUUAUAUUUACAUUAAUUGAAACCCAAUUAUAUGUAUCCUGGCUAGCUACCUAAUCUGACACUACUUUAACAAAAAAUGGAUAUCUUCAAUUUGGUUACAAAUAGUCUACUGUUGAUAGUAAGUUAUGUCAAAUGACUAUUUUUAUGAAUAGUGGAUGUCCCGGUUCGCGAAUGUAAGGACCCGUUGGUUGGUCCUCGCGUUCGCGACAUGGUCCUCGCGUUCGCCUAGGGUCUGCUAGUGUAAGCUACUCGUUUGCGAGUGGACCUCGCGGUUGCGAAAGAGGAAAUUGGCCAGCAGGACUUUUGUUCAUCGCGUUCGCGAUAGUAGCCUCGCGUUUGCGAAGAAGAACGCACCUGGGCAGAUAUAAGAUUUAAAAAUCGAGGGUUUAGCCAUUUUUAUCAGAACUUAAGCUUGGGAGCUCGGAUUUGAGAGGGAUUUUGAGGGAUUUUCAGAUAUAUCGAUUGGUGGGUACGAAACAUGUGUUUGUGAUUAUCAGUUAAGAUAUGUUUUUUCUAUUUUCUUUGGUUCCAUCGCCUUUUUUCUCACUUUGCUCCGACUUAAACAUUGUCGGUGAGUUCUAGUGAUUGUGUUGUUCCUUGCUACUUCCUCUCUAUUCUUUCCAUGUUCUUCGUUCUUCUUUGCGGGUUUUCCCUUUGAGUCUGCUUUGCACACAUCUAUCUUCAUUUGUUUUUUGAUUUCAGCAAUCCAAGAUGUAAUAAUCAGGAACAACUUCAGUACUGAAGAUCUCAACUAAGGUAAAAUACUAUUUUUAAGCUCUUGUACUUAAAGGAUCAUAAACCCUAUCCAAUAAACACUUCAUCUGCUUACCUCUAUGUUUUGUGGCAAAAAGUUUUGAUUGGGGUGUUUUUGUUUCUUUCGUGUUUAGUAAAUGGUUUUGAAUUUCUCAUAUUAAUUAAGAAUAAUUGUUUAAUGCUGAAGAAAGACCAGUAAUUGUAAUAUUAUUUAAAUGUCAAGUGAAGAAGAGGUAACAUGCCAACAAGAAAUUGGUACUAUGAUUUAUACUUUUCGAUAUUCUAAGAAAUUUGAGAUUUAUGGAUGUGCAAGUGGAAAAGAAACGUUGCAGCUUCAAAAAUAAAAAUAAAGAUAAAAAUAAAAAUUAAAACUGAAAUAGUGAUGCUAUUUUUUUUUUGGCAAAAUACAUAGUUUGCCCUCGGAACUUAGGACCAAAUCCCUGUGACACACCUUCUGAGCACGGACAACUUUUUACACACCCAACCUUUUCAAAGUGUGUCUAAUACACACCUUUUUUGUCAACAUGGCUAGUGCGUGUUUUACCAAUAAAAUAAGGCGCGUGAACAGUAAAAAAAAUUAUUUUCUUUCUUUAUUUUUUUUUUCAUUUUCCUAAACUAAUUCACUAGCUAUCCUCCGCCAAAUCCAACACUCACCUUCCAUCGUCGUUUCUCCACAAUUUCUCCACCAUCCUAACCAACACCCACCUGCCAAGAACCACCAUACCUUCACCAUUGAAGCCCGUCUCUUUUCUCUCUUUUUUUUUCUUCUCAAAACCCAGUUGUUGGUAGCAGCCAUGGAAGCCCUUACCUUCUGCAUAGAAAAUAGAGCAGUUUGAGUUAAACCCAGAAGCUAAGAUCUUCAAGCCAUGCCAUUUCUGGAUUCCAUCUUUGAGUUUAAACAAAUAUUAUGCAGUUUGAUGUUCUUGAGUUAUAAUAAAGACUUGUAAUUUCUUCAUUUAAAAGUGUUUUGGUGGAUCUAAUUAUGUCAGGUUUUAUAUUAUGUGGGUUUUUUCUUUUAUUUUGUGAGUUUGAGUUGAAUUCUCAUUCUAUGUAAAAAAAAAAAAUUACUCCUAAUUAAAGUUUUUAGAAGUGUAGAGACAUACUUCAAAGAUGUGAUUUUUUUUUAUUUCUAAGUGUUUUUCUCUUUAAAAUAGACUGUAUUUGUUGAAUUCUUGUUAUUAGCUAUUGCUCAUGUUUUUAAAGUAAACAAAGGGGAGGGAUUGGAGCCUUACAGGAGUAAGUCGAUGGGAAGGGGGCUCGGAGAAGAGGGUAGACAGUGGAGGAGGAGGAAGCUGAUGACGGAGGGGAGGCUUGGGGAAGAGUUUUUUUUUUUUUUUGGGGGGGGAGGGGGGAUAAGGUGAUAUAAUAUUUAAUUUUAUUGGAAAAAGUUUAAUCAAUUAAGGUUUAUUUUAAGUAUGUAUUUAUUUAUAGUUGAGUUAUGACACGUGUCGCAUUUUGACUGGUACGUGGAUGCAGUCUCCAAACAAAAAACUGGUCCAUAAAAAAGUAGUGUCUUAUACACACUUUGAAAAAGUUAGGCGUGUAAAAAGUUAUCCGUACUCAGAAGGUGUGUCACAGGGAUUUGGUCCUAAGUUUCGGAGGAAACUAUGUAUUUUGCCAUUUUUUUCCUUUUCAUUUUGGAUUAGAGAACAUGAAUUUUGAUGGAAUAAUAUAAGAAUACGAAAAGAUUGAUAGUCACUAAUAACACAUGUAUUUACUUUUAAGCCACCGUUUAAAAUUUCUUUAGUCUUUAGUUAUUGCUUUAAUAAACUUUAAUUGUCGGACGAAAAUACUCUUCUGCUCAUGUCCUUAACUUUUGAACUUAAUUUCAGGACUUCAGCAUUACAUGUCCUUAACUUUUGAACUUGGAACUCUAAGUUCAGAACUUUUGGACUACAUGUCCUUAACUUCAGGACUACAUGUCCUUAACUUUUGAACUUGUAACUAUAAGUUCAGGACCAAGUGUCCUUAACUUUUGAGCUUGUUAGUCUAAGUUCAGGACGUAUUGUCCUUAACUUUUGGGUUUUUUAGCCUAAGUUCAUGACCUAUUGUCCUUAUCUUUUGAGCUUAUUAGUCUAAGUUCAGGACUUCAGGACCUAUUGUCCUUAACUUUUGAACUUGUAACUGUAAGUACAGGACCUAUUGUCCUUAACUUUUGGGCUUCUUAGCCUAAGUUCACGACCUAUUGUCCUUAACUUUUGAGCUUGUUAAUCUAAGUUCAGGACUUCAGGACCUAGUGUCCUUAACUUUUGAACUUGGAACUCGAAGUUCAGGACCAAGUGUCCUUAACUUUUGAACCUGUAACUAUAAGUUCGGGAUCCAUAACGUAGCAGAAAACCAAAAAUGCAUCACAGAAAUCACAAACCGAAACAUUGUGUCCAAUCCAUCACACCUUUAUGCAGAGUUCAAUUUUCAAUUAGCAGAUGAUCGUUCUUUUGGUGGAUUUUACGGUACUGCAACUGAUCAAGGCAUUGACAGUAUUGGGAUUUAUGUGAAGACCAUCACAUCCUCCACAAUAAGUAGAAUAACAUCCAACGAAACGACUGACGCGGCCAAAAGGAAAGAAAAUCAUUCAAUUCAACAUAUGUAUAUUUGAUGUUCAUGAUUUUUUCAUAUUAGAUCAUUUGUUGCUUUUGUUAAGUUCAUUACGUGAGAAUCAUGAACUGGUCUAGUUUAUUACCCAAUGAGUUGAAAGAGAUAG